GGGAUGAUGUGAUUAUACCUACUAAAAAAGGAGACAAAGUUUAAUUGCAGCAAGAGUGCUUUUGGCUGCACAGUUACCACCCAGGUCCAAAAAUAGGAUUGUAAGUGAUUAGUGUAGCACUCCUGAUGGGGAAAGAAGAGCCAGAAGUGUAAAUAAAAAGGAGAUUUAGGGUUUCUCUAAGCUAUGGCUUCAAACUUGUCAGCAACCUGCGCACAACAUCUCUGUUACUUGAGUUAUGAUGUGAUUCUCUUUUACAGGGAAUGUGUAUCCCAUUUCUGGUUCAGGUCCCUUCCCUCCUUUUGGCAAGUAAAGCUUUUGGGAGAAAACAGUUGCAAGAGGUUUGAAGCACACACGGGGAGAGCAAGAGCAGAAUUGUCUACCAUCUCAGAAGCAUUGUGGGGAUUGCAACAUGGAGGAGACUAAUUAAUCAAGCACAAGACAUGAUCAGCCUGUGUAAUAUCACAGACCAAAAAUGUGGACCCCUGUAUGUCUGUUUAUCCAUUAUCAUAUUAUUUUCCAGUUUCUAUUUCUUUCUACAAAACAUUGAUUUUUCAUCCAUGCAUGUCGUGCCUCAAUACUGUGCAUAUAAUUCAAUAACUCUUCUGAAGUUUGGCAGGUUUCCAACUGCCCUUGUGUCAUCUUUAUGAAAUUUGAAAACAUUAGAGUUGUACAUAUUAUCUUUUGAAGUGAUGAUGUGAUUCAUUAUCCUGCAGCUCUCAUUACCCACAAGGGGCUAAGAAAUUUAUAUCAUAUGCAAACUCAACUGUUUAGUGGUUUGUCCAGGGGCAAUGCUAGGGUCAAAAUUAAAAAUGUUGAACCUCUCUCUUCCAUCUUUUAUGCUCCCUGCCCUCUCUUUAUUAGCAAGAUCUCUGUAAGAUAUAAACAAACAAACCACCGAAAAAAUUGCUUUUAGUCUUUAUAGACUUAAAGGAAUAUCUCACCCAAUAGAAAAAAGUCAGUAUUCAUUCAAAAGAGCUGAAAUUCAUCACAAUGCUAUUUUAGGAAUUGUAUUAAAUAAUUCUUUUCAAGCUUUUCGUUGUACCAAUGCUAAAAAACAUAUUUCUUCACCACCAAUAUCACUCCACCCUUUGCUAAGUGUUGUAGAUGAGGGCUCAGUGAGCUUUCAAGGUGAGGUUGUCUGACUGAUCCCCCACCCUCUGGAGGCUCAGGGGUUGGUCUCUGGGCUUAACCUCCAGGUGGCACUUGCUAUAUUCUUGUCAGUAACUCUUUGUCUGCUGGCUGGGGGUGCUGGAAACCUUUGCCAGCAAAGUUUUCUUUCUUCCCAAUCUUGUUGGGAUGCUGGGCUGGACAGGCAGGUCUGUGCUAGUAAAUAAUGCCAGGCUGGGGAAGGACUCAGGCCUGAGCUCACGAGUGCCUGUAGUGCUCUG
rnacentral:lncRNA from 1 species